GACAGAGGGGGGCAAGCGUUGCUCGGAAUCACUGGGCGUAAAGGGCGCGUAGGCGGGAUGGCAAGUCAGUCGUGAAAUCUCUCGGCUCAACCGAGAAACGUCGGCUGAUACUGCCGUUCUUGAGGGAUGCAGAGGAGACUGGAAUUCCCGGUGUAGCGGUGAAAUGUGUAGAGAUCGGGAGGAACACCGGUGGCGAAGGCGGGUCUCUGGGCCGGUACUGACGCUGAGGAGCGAAAGCUAGGGGAGCGAACGGG
rnacentral:rRNA from 1 species